rnacentral:rRNA from 1 species
CCAUGCCGCGUGUGUGAAGAAGGCCUUCGGGUUGUAAAGCACUUUUGUACGGGAAGAAAUCUCCGGGACUAAUACUCCUGGAAGCUGACGGUACCGUAAGAAUAAGCACCGGCUAACUUCGUGCCAGCCACUGCGGUGACUGAGCGGGCUGGCAAGGCGCAUA